CCCUCCUCUAAAAUUGUUCUUUUCAGGUCUUUUGGUCACAGCGGCAAAAAUCUGACUAAGCCAGUGUGUUCUGAGGUCAUAAAAAAAACAGAAUUUUGCUCAUUUCACUCUUUCCUGGACUGAACUUCUCCAACUAUACAUUUCAGGGCUGGUUUUAGACAUGUAGAGGGAAGUUGGCCUUCCUAGAUUUGAUUUAUUUAUUCAGCCAUCAUCUAUAAUGUACAUACUGUAUACCAGGCAGUAUUUGAUGAAUGUGAAGAAACACCAAUGAACAGACAAAGAAGGCUCCUUGAGCUCAUGUGACUUCCAUUCUAAAAGGGGUCCCAGAAAGUCAUCAAUUAAGCAAACGAAGAACAGCACACCACUGGCUAGAUCCCUUUGGGCUAUGGGAGCAACAUAUUCCACACAUAAGUCUCCCUUCCCAGUUCACAUCUGUGGUCAUCUGGGCAGAGGUGCCAUCCAACCAAGUGAAAGAGAAAUAACUUGAGCUUGGUUUACAG